AAAUACUUUUAAUUCAUCUUGCAGAUUUUAUUUUUUUGUUUAUGCUAGAAACCACUUUAUUAAGAAAGAAGGUUAAGAAAUAAAAUAAUUGAAAUAAAUACUUUAAUCUUGUGGUCCCUACUACUUUUACAACUACUUUAACUCUCCUAAAUACCCGUGUCCAAAAGUUUUGAGCCACGAAUGUUGGGACGGAGGGAGUAUAAAGUAGGGCUAUAAACUUAUGUUUUUGUGAAAGAGUGCUAUAAUAAGAUUUCUCUCAUUGCUUGUGCAUACCAAGCAUAGAAAUCCCUAAGAUUUGUCAUUCAUUUCCCACCCUCAUUUCAUUCUACUUCCAUUCCAUUCCACCCUUAUUCCAUUCCAUCAUAUGAAUCACCUAUAUGGGUGGUAUGCAUGAAUGGAAUGACCAUUUGUGUGUCCAUUCUCAAUUCUAUGGUUGGUACGGCGUAACGGG
rnacentral:lncRNA from 1 species